AUGGCCUCCGACCAUGAGCGCCUCCGAGCACUCACAGCCUUCGACGACACCAAGGCCGGCGUCAAAGGCCUCGUCGAUGCUGGGGUCACCGCUGUCCCAUCCAUCUUCCACCACCCGCCCGAAUGCCUCCCUGCAGCGGACGCCGAGCUCCACCACUUUACCAUACCGGUCAUCGACCUGGCGUCUGACUCGCGAGUCGCGCUGGUUGCCCAAGUGAAGGCCGCCGCGCAGGCGGUGGGCUUCUUCCAGGUGGUGAACCACGACGUGCCGGACGACCUUCUCGCCGAGAUGCUCGUCUCGGUGCGCCGCUUCCACGAGUCUCCCGUGGAGACGAAGCGCGCCUACUACAGCCGGGACCACCGCCGAACAGUCCAGUCCAACUCCAACUUCUACCUGUUCCAGUCGCCGGCGGCCAGCUGGCGCGACACCAUGGCCGUCGCGCCGGAGUACGCUCGGCAGGUGCAGCGGCUAGGCCGUGCGCUAUUCGAGCUGCUGUCGGAGGCGCUGGGUCUGGAUCUAAGCUACCUGGAGGAGGAGACGAUGUGCCUGGACCGGGUGAACAUCAGCGGCCACUAUUACCCGGCGUGCCCGGAGCCACACCUCACGCUGGGCACCAGCAGGCACUCCGACGCCAGCCUCCUCACCGUGCUCCUCCAGGACACCGUCGGCGGGCUCCAGGUGCUCCUCGACGACGGCAAGUGGGCGGACGUGCCGGCCGUGCCGGGGGCGCUGGUGGUCAACGUCGGCGACUACCUGCAGCUCAUGUCCAACAACAGAUUCAAGAGCGUGGAACACCGUGUGGUGGCUAACAGCGUCGAGUCCAGGGUGUCGGUUGCCUGCUUCAUCGUGCCAAACCAAUCGUCCGCCAGGGUGCUCGCGCCCAUCGUCACCGGCGACGGCAGCGUCGCGCGGUACAGGAGCACCACGGUGGAGGACAUGUUCCGCUACUACAGGAACAGGCGCUAG
rnacentral:rRNA from 1 species